rnacentral:rRNA from 1 species
UACGAAGGGGGCUAGCGUUGCUCGGAAUCACUGGGCGUAAAGCGCACGUAGGCGGCUUUUUUAAGUCAGGGGGUGAAAUCCUGGAGCUCAACUCCAGAACUGCCUUUGAUACUGAGAGGCUCGAGUCCGGGAGAGGUGAGUGGAACUGCGAGUGUAGAGGUGAAAUUCGUAGAUAUUCGCAAGAACACCAGUGGCGAAGGCGGCUCACUGGCCCGGUACUGACGCUGAGGUGCGAAAGCGUGGGGAGCAAACAGGG